CCUACGGGAGGCAGCAGUGGGGAAUAUUGCACAAUGGGCGCAAGCCUGAUGCAGCGACGCCGCGUGAGGGAUGACGGCCUUCGGGUUGUAAACCUCUUUCAGUAGGGAAGAAGCGAAAGUGACGGUACCUGCAGAAGAAGCGCCGGCUAACUACGUGCCAGCAGCCGCGGUAAUACGUAGGGCGCAAGCGUUAUCCGGAAUUAUUGGGCGUAAAGAGCUCGUAGGCGGUUUGUCGCGUCUGCCGUGAAAGUCCGGGGCUCAACUCCGGAUCUGCGGUGGGUACGGGCAGACUAGAGUGAUGUAGGGGAGACUGGAAUUCCUGGUGUAGCGGUGAAAUGCGCAGAUAUCAGGAGGAACACCGAUGGCGAAGGCAGGUCUCUGGGCAUUAACUGACGCUGAGGAGCGAAAGCAUGGGGAGCGAACAGGAUUAGAUACCCUGGUAGUCCAUGCCGUAAACGUUGGGCACUAGGUGUGGGGGACAUUCCACGUUUUCCGCGCCGUAGCUAACGCAUUAAGUGCCCCGCCUGGGGAGUACGGCCGCAAGGCUAAAACNCAAAGGAAUUGACGG
rnacentral:rRNA from 1 species